ensembl:lncRNA
AUGCAGCCAGGGCUGAGCACCUCUGAUGGAACAUCUCCGUCCUUUUAGAGAUGAGGAAAUUGAAGCUUAGAGAACUACCUGCGUCUCGACCAAGACAUUCUGUUUCUUACAAUUCUACUUUAAAUGAAUAUUUGAAUGCUCACAGAUUAUCCUUUUAAAUCUCAGCAUCUCCAUUCUUGAAUUCAUUGUGUCUCUCUCAGAUGGCUGGACGUCGUGGAAUGUCUUCUUUCAGGAAGGAGACGUGGGCUUCUACUUUCUAAGUCCCGGCAUAAAAAUGCUUUUCCCCUGCAUUCUCGCUUGGAUGGCCACUUUAUUAAAGCAGACUUUCUCGAUUCUACUGUGCAUGCGAAUCACCUGGGGAGCUUGUUAACUGAAGAGUCAGAUGGAGAAGUUUUGGAUGGAGGCUGCAGUGCUAUAUUCCCAUUUCUAACAUGCUCUCAGGUGAUGCUGCCCUGCUGGUGGCUCGUGAACGACACCUUGAGUAGCAAGAGUGAAGUGGAGUCUGCCCACAGACUUUUCCGCUCCCUUUGUCAAGGGCCUUCAGGGAAUUUUUCUUGUUAUCCCUUUAUGAGAACCCCACCCUUAGCCACAGGGAUUGCUCUGUGGUUAUUGGAGGAGUGAAGGUUUAUUUCCCCCGAGAUCGUUAUACUGAGAAGCUUGUUAGUCAGAGUAGCCAGGAGACAUCGUGACUGCUAUCGGGUGAGACUGUUUAUCAAAGCCAAGUAGAAUCAAGUUGAGAGACGGAUGGAGAGUUCUGAUGUCUGAUGUCAUCACUUGAGCCUCUGGAAUUAAUUGUAGCUAAAGAUUUAUCCACAGAAUUUCCCAGCCUUAGGUUGCAGGCUUUUGGAAGACCCGCAUACAGCCUUCAAUGAGGGCAAUGCAUAUCUUCCAGAGAUAUGGGCUUGCAGGUGGAUGCAGUAACCAGAUGAGAUGCUGAGUUGUCUUCCUUUGGGGAAAAGAUGUCUGGGAACUCAGCUGGGAAGUCUCAAUGACCUGGGGCUGAAAUCAUCUGGAGCUGCCUUCACUUCAUAACUGCCUUGCAGUUGAUGUUGGCUACAAACUAGCAUCUCACCUGGGACUACCUCAACCGGAAUACCUGCACAGGCAUUCUACAUAGAGCCUGGACUUCCUCACAACAUGGCAGCCGCAGGGUAGUUGGACUUCUUGUACGUGACUCAUAGAUUCCAGUACGAAGGUGGAUAAGAUAUGCCAACCGAGGCCAAGAGAAGUGAAGUGCUUUGCCCAAGGUUGCACAGCUAUUAACGAUCUGCAGGGCAGACGGAUGGAAGGUAGAGAAGAGCAAGGUCAAGGUGGAAGCCAUGGACAUGAAUAGGAGCCUGCAAGGAUCAACCCAAACCCAUGUCAGUUCUCACUGCCUCCAACUUGAAUGAAGUGGGUGUCCUGCAAGAGAGGCCGGCACCCUUCGUCACACAAGUGAACACACACCUCGCCCUGGAGAUGGUGAAGCUGAAGGAGGAUCAGGGGAAGGUGGAGCCAGUCGCAGGUCCAAUGGCUGCCCUGGACCAAUGAGAGGAAUAAAAGAAGAGGAAGACCCCGGCAACCUAAGCUUUGGAGGUCUUCGCAAGCUGGUUUAAUUUGCUCUCGCCCUCUUCCUUUGAUGUGGGAUGUCAGAGUCUGCUCACCAAAAGCUGCUGAAGAUUUCUUGCAAGAGCCACUAGGACCUGGUUCCUUCCUUGGGGCCUCUCAUUGGCUCCUCUAAGCCUGGCUUCUGCCUCCCAUAAACCACAGGAAAUUCCAGCACAAGGUAAAGAGUUCUCCAAUGGACACAGGUCCUGGAUAUUUCUUAAUUUCGAGUUCUUCCACCUCUUAUGCAUUGUCAGCCCCGUCAGAGCUUUGCUUGGAUGACAAGCGCAGAUGUCACUUCUCGCUGCAUUUGUUGUUUCUGUGUCUGUGGUAGUGCUGAUUCCUGGCCACUCCGACCUCCUGCUCUUCAGGCCUUAAUCUGAGCUAUUGCGAAGCCUCAGCAAAAGCUGACUGUGAAGCUUGGUCCUGAUGCUGACAGGGGCAAUCUCAUGGCAGAAAGAGGGCAGAGUGAGCAGACCUGGGUUUGGAUCCCAGCUCCAACUCUCUCUACCUUCCUAGUGUAUUAAUCAUGUUUUUUGUAUUCUGUUUUUUAUGACGUUUUGACAUCUAAAAAAAUCUGUCUGGGAAGACAACUGCUCCUGCUUCUGCUUUCUGACCAAAACCCAGUGUUCCUCCUGUGGCCCUGCGUGAUGAGCCAGGCCUCUUGUUUCUAGCAGGAUUGUGUGUAACAUUAAACUUUUCUUUCAACAGCACUGACCUCUCAGUGUCAUCACUCAGUCACCUUUAUAAAUUAAGACCCAGACACAAAGCAUGUGGCUGUGGUUAGGUUUUGCCCACGUGCUAACAGCUUUCAUCUUCAUCUCAUGCCCGCCACUCCCAUUGCUGCAGCCCGAGCUUACAUUGUCUUUAGAACUCUUGAUCUCUGAAGAAAAGCAAUGUUCUUUUUAUCCUGGCAUUCAUGUAAAUCCCCCCAGAGGGCUCUGAUUGGUCUUACUUGGGUAUUGUGUCCAAAAUGAAGCCAAUUAAUGUGUCCAGCUGUUGUGGAAAUGAGGCCACUGAUGGCCCAUCUUGGUGACAUGCUCAACCCUAUGGUAGAAGAGGCAAAGCCGCUUGAUGGACAGUGCCACCAGAAUCACUUUGAGAGAUGGAGUCAGUUACCAAAAGGAACGGAUACAGAACACAUAAAAAGGAAUGCAUUUCUUAUAUGCUGACGUGUCAUGCAUUCGGAAAGUAGGCCAUUUGAAAACUUAGGAUUGGAUUAAUUCAACUCUAGAAGUGCCAAGACCUAAGAAACCCAGCAUGUGACCAAAAAAUUAGAGUGAGACCCUUUUGCCUGGUUAAAGCAUAAUGAGAAAUUGGGGAGGGGAGAAUUUCGCAUUCUAAUUUUGGGAGACUUUUA